UAACCUUUCUUCCCCAAAUUGCAUGUUUCAUCUCCACAUCUCACGUUUAAGUUUAGAUUCCUUCAAGCUGCUAAAUUAUUGCACAUCGAGAAUUUUUCUUUAUUGUUAAUCUAAAUCUAUUUAUUAAUUCAAGAAGAUUUUCGAUUGACAAGGAGCAUACUCGAGGCAGGAAAUGUGGAGUAUGUUUUCUCAAGCUUAUCAUUUUCAGUGACCUCUUCUCCGCAUAAAUUUAAUUGUGAUAUAAUUCUAUACAUGGAAGAAUUAUAUUCAGUUUUACUUUUAAAGUCCGAUAACCUCAAAUUAACCAAUCAUGAUGCGCCUAUGGUAGAAUGACCAACUUUAGGUGGUCAUGUCUAUCUUUCAAAUUAUUUCAUAGUACAAGUGGGUCUUUAAUAGUGACAUAUUGCAUUUUCAAUCCCUCGUCGAGAUAGUGAAGGAGAAAUAUCAUAACUUUUGCAUGUUCUUGACUGAAUGUCUGGUUAUUAUUUUUGAUGGUUUCUACCAGACCCAUUGCUUCCAUGUGAAUUUUAGCAUCUAAUAUCCAUGAUGAGUAUCCUUUGUCCGAUAUAUCCAAGGCAACAAAUUCAAGUUCAGAAA